CCUACGGGUGGCAGCAGUGAGGAAUAUUGGUCAAUGGGCGCGAGCCUGAACCAGCCAAGUAGCGUGAAGGAUGACUGCCCUACGGGUUGUAAACUUCUUUUAUAAAGGAGUAAAGUGAGGCACGUGUGCCUGUUUGUAUGUACUUUAUGAAUAAGGAUCGGCUAACUCCGUGUCAGCAGCCGCGGUAAUACGGAGGAUCCGAGCGUUAUCCGGAUUUAUUGGGUUUAAAGGGUGCGUAGAUGGGUUGUUAAGUCAGUGGUGAAAGUUUGAGGCUCAACCGUAGAAUUGCAAUUGAUACUGGCAGGCUUGAGUGCAGUUGAGGUAGGCGGAAUGCGUGGUGUAGCGGUGAAAUGCUUAGAGAUCACGCAGAACUCCGAUUGCGAAGGCAGCCUACUAAGCUGCCACUGACAUUGAGGCACGAAAGUGUGGGGAUCAAACAGGAUUAGAUACCCGAGUAGUC
rnacentral:rRNA from 1 species